UCAAAGGAAAAACAAACAGCAACAAAAUAGCUGGGUAUAGUGGUGUCUACCUUCAAUCCCAGUGCUGGGAAGGCAGAAGUUGGCAGAUCUCUAGGAGUUUGAAAUCAGCCUGGUCUGCAUAGUGAGUUCCAGGACAACCAGAAAAAAGAGGUUGUCGCUACUGCCAUCCACAUUUUACCGAUGAGGAACUGACAUUCAAAAACAGUAAGGAAAUGGAAGGCAGGACCGUAUAACCAAAGUCUGUGCAGGAACUUCCUGCUACCCCAGCAGAGUCUCCUGUCUCCACGCGCAUCUCCAGAGGAUGGCAAACGUAUUUGAUGGCGGACUUCCGCAAUCUGUCUGGAGUGUUACCACAUGCCAGGCAGCUCCUGGAAUGUUUCCCUCUCUCCCACUAGCAUGCUCAUGAAAGGAUGAGAGUGAAACAGCAGAUAACGGCUUAUUAAGAAACUGGUUUUACUUCGAGGACCCUCUGCAAAGGGUUUCAGAAUUCCCCACGCAUCUCUUGGCCGCACUCUGAGAAUCACUGGU